AGAGUUUGAUCCUGGCUCAGAACUAACGCUGGCGGCGUGCCUAACACAUGCAAGUCGUACGAGAAAGUUGGCUUCGGCCGAUGAGUAAAGUGGCGCACGGGUGAGUAACGCGUGGAUAAUCUACCCCUCAGUUGGGAAUAACUCAUCGAAAGGUGGGCUAAUACCGAAUAAUACUGCAUAACUUCUGUUGUGUAGUCAAAGAUGGCCUCUGCUUGCAAGCUAUCGCUGAAGGAUGAGUCCGCGUACCAUUAGCUAGUUGGUAGGGUAAUGGCCUACCAAGGCAACGAUGGUUAGCUGGUCUGAGAGGAUGAUCAGCCACACUGGAACUGAGACACGGUCCAGACUCCUACGGGAGGCAGCAGUGAGGAAUAUUGCGCAAUGGGGGCAACCCUGACGCAGCAACGCCGCGUGAGUGAGGAAGGUUUUCGGACCGUAAAGCUCUGUCGAGCGGGAAGAAAUGCAUAGUGGUUAAUAUCCAUUAUGCUUGACGGUACCGCUAAAGGAAGCACCGGCUAACUCCGUGCCAGCAGCCGCGGUAAUACGGGGGGUGCUAGCGUUGUUCGGAAUCAUUGGGCGUAAAGAGCGUGUAGGCGGCUGGAUAAGUCAGAUGUGAAAGCCCUGGGCUUAACCCAGGAAGUGCAUUUGAAACUGUUCAGCUUGAGUAAGGGAGAGGAAAGUGGAAUUCCUGGUGUAGAGGUGAAAUUCGUAGAUAUCAGGAGGAACACCGGUGGCGAAGGCGACUUUCUGGCCCUAUACUGACGCUGAGACGCGAGAGCGUGGGUAGCAAACAGGAUUAGAUACCCUGGUAGUCCACGCUGUAAACGAUGUUCACUAGGUGUUGGGGGUAUUGACCCUCUCAGUGCCGCAGCUAACGCAUUAAGUGAACCGCCUGGGGGAGUACGGUCGCAGAUUAAAACUCAAAGGAAUUGACGG
rnacentral:rRNA from 1 species